rnacentral:rRNA from 1 species
AGCGAACGCUGGCGGCAGGCUUAACACAUGCAAGUCGAGCGCUCGUAGCAAUACGAGAGCGGCAGACGGGAGAGUAACACGUGGGAACGUACCCUUUGGUUCGGAACAACACAGGGAAACUUGUGCUAAUACCGGAUAAGCCCUUACGGGGAAAGAUUUAUCGCCAAAGGAUCGGCCCGCGUCUGAUUAGCUAGUUGGUGGGGUAACGGCUCACCAAGGCGACGAUCAGUAGCUGGCUGAGAGGAUGACCAGCCUCAUUGGGACUGAGACACGGCCCAAACUCCUACGGGAGGCAGCAGUGGGGAAUAUUGCACAAUGGGCGGAAGCCUGAUGCAGCGACGCCGCGUGAGGGAUGACGGCCU